AAGUCGUAACAAGGUUUCCGUAGGUGAACCUGCGGAAGGAUCAUUAGUGAAUGCCCUCACGGGCUUAACUAUCCAACCAACCUUUGUGAACCGUCGCCUUCGGGCGCUCUAUAACAAACUAUAACAGUCAUGAACGUAGUAUACAAAAACAAACACAACUUUCAACAACGGAUCUCUUGGCUCUC
rnacentral:misc_RNA from 1 species